GAUGAAGAACGUAGUGAAUUGCGAUAAGUAAUGUGAAUUGCAGAAUUCAGUGAAUCAUCGAAUCUUUGAACGCAUAUUGAACCUUCUGGUAUUCUGGAAGGUAUGCCUGUUUGAGUGUCAUGAAUAUUCUCAACCUGGCAGGAAUGUCAUGGUUGGAUGAUUGAGGGUUGCUGGUAAAGCUAUUUCUGUGUCCAGCUCCUUUUAAAUAUAUUAGCUCGUAUCGCACGAUAUCAGCUCCGGUUUGAUAAAUUAAUGGCUGUUGCUGAGCAAGUGCUGUUUGAGCUUCUAAACAUCUCAAUUUGAGAUUGCUCUUUGAAAGGGCAACAUUCAUCAAGUUUGACCUCAAAUCAGGUAGGGCUACCCGCUGAACUUAAGCAUAUCAAUAAGCGGAGGA
rnacentral:misc_RNA from 1 species